UUUUGCUGUUUUAAUUUUAAAAAUUCAAAUUUAAUAAAACAAAGCUCUAAACAAAAACAAACAAAAAAAAUCAAAGAAUUGUUCCUGUUUUGUCGAUUGUCAUGUUCCUCUAGCUGUGUUAGUUUUAUACCUUAAACAGUGGUUACCUAUGAUGCCCAAGAUGACGAAGAGAGAUCGCUGCCACACAUCUUCCAUGGUUUCCAUUCCAAACUACCACCAGGAAUUCUAAAACAUGGUUUGCCCACUGUGAAGGAAGUUGCAUCAGCCAUAACAACACAACAUGAACACAAAAAAGAACAUGAAGAGAAGAAAGAGAAUGAUCAUCUUGUCGGAGGACUUUGAAAGUCUUGUUCUACGCGCUGGACGUGUCAUCGAAAGGGCUCUAUCUAAGAAUGUCGACAUCUACACAGAUUACAUUGGAGGUGUUGGUGAUUAUGAAGAGUCAAACGAUGAGAGGACACAUGCUAGGUUGUCAUUGAAUCGAGCUUUCUACGAAGACCGAUGGUCUAAGAAUCGAUGCAUCACUUCAAUGGAUUAGUCACCACAUUUUCCUGAACUGGUUGUUGCUUUGUAUCACAAUAAUGAGGAGAGUCCCAAUGAACCAGAUGGUGUUGUUAUGGUCCGGAACACAAAAUAUAAAAAAACAAACACCCGAAGAUGUAUUCCAUUGUCAUAGUGCCAUUAUGUCAACAUGCUUUGCUAAAUUCAAUCAAAAUCUUAUACUAGGUGGAACGUAUUUUGCUCAGAUUGUCCUUUGGGAUAAUGGAGUGCAAAAGCACACCCCCAUCCAGAGGACACCACUAAGUGCAACUGCACAUAUACGCAUCCAGUGUACUGUUUGCAAAUGUUUGGCACACAGAAUGCACACAAUGUGAUAUCGAUCUCAUCCGAUGGCAAGCUUUGCUCUUGGAGUUUGGUUAAGGUAGUUGUUGGAGGAGGAUCAGGAUUAAAUAAAAAUAUUAAACCACCUGAUGUAACUAAAAAAACUUCGCCGGCAAGAGUGCUGUUUUGGGGUGUAAAAUCAAAAUCUAUAACGCAGUUUUUUUCUCAGAUGUGAAUUUUUAUUAAAUUUUUGUUUAUUUGAUGCUAAGAACAAAUACUUUUAACUUUAUAUGUAGCUAUGUAAACGAUCAGUUAAUAAAUUGAAUGUUGAUUUAUGUUGAAGUUAAGAAAGAUUUUGUUUGUUUGAAGUUGUUAUGUAUGUUUACUAGCUGUAUCGGCGGCAAUUUACUGACGUGGAAAAGUUUUCGUCCCGUUGCAUGCAAUACGAUAUUAUGUUAGUUGGUCAGAUACAAGCUCAACAUGCCAAAUCGACUGGUCCUACACAUUUCGGGAACAUUUGAGUAUAUAAACCGUUGCUGUUAUUAACCUCAUUAUAUUUUUUGGUACUCUAUAUUUACUUCUUAUUUAAUUAUUUAAGCAAAAAGAAAAUAGCAAAGAAAAACAAAAACAAUUUAUGCAAGU